rnacentral:misc_RNA from 1 species
UGCCCAUCCCAAUAAAAUAAAAUUUCUUAAAUUUGGCUCUGCAUCUGCCAAAUUCAAGCGGUUGGCUCAGGAUAGAGAUGAGAUGUCACGCUCAGUGGCUUCUUCAAGUAGCCACGGUCUUCGCGAACGCAUGAAGGAGAUUGAUUGGGCUUUUCUAAUGAAAACAAGCAAAGAAUGGAUCCGGGAUCCAAUGAACAUGGCCCUCUUUGUUUGGAUCGUGUGUGUUGCUAUUUCAGGUGCAAUUCUGUUCCUAGUCAUGACUG